AGAUUGAACGCUGGCGGCAUGGCUAAAACAUGCAAGUCGAACGCGAAAGGGAGCAAUCCCAAGUAGAGUGGCGAAAGGGCGAGGAAUAAAUUCCUACGUACCCCAAGGUCGGGGAUACCUCGGAGAAAUCCGAAUCAAUACCCGAUGUGGUCGGAAACGAUCAAAGGCUUGCUGCCUUGGGAGCGGGGAAUUUCCUAUCAGGUAGUUGGUAGGGUAACGGCCUACCAAGCCUAAGACGGGUAGCGGGUGUGAGAGCACGGCCCGCCGCAUCGAGACUGAGACACUGCUCGGACUCCUACGGGAGGCUGCAGUAACGAAUCUUCCGCAAUGCGCGAAAGCGUGACGGGGCAAUGCCGCGUGUGGGAUGAAGCCCUUCGGGGUGUAAACCACUGUCAGGGUGCAGGAACUCAAUGACCAUACCCAAAGGAAGCACCGGCUAACUCUGUGCCAGCAGCCGC
rnacentral:rRNA from 1 species